UGCAAGUCGAACGGAAAGGCCCUUCGGGGUACUCGAGUGGCGAACGGGUGAGUAACACGUGGGUGAUCUGCCCUGCACUUCGGGAUAAGCCUGGGAAACUGGGUCUAAUACCGGAUAUGACCAUGGGAUGCAUGUCUUGUGGUGGAAAGCUUUUGCGGUGUGGGAUGGGCCCGCGGCCUAUCAGCUUGUUGGUGAGGUUAUGGCUUACCAAGGCGACGACGGGUAGCCGGCCUGAGAGGGUGUCCGGCCACACUGGGACUGAGAUACGGCCCAGACUCC
rnacentral:rRNA from 2 species